CUGUCAGUUCGAACGGUAACAGGAGAGAGCUUGCUCUCUCGCUGACGAGUGGCGGACGGGUGAGUAAUACAUGGGAAUCUGCCCUGAGGUGGGGGAGAACCUGGGGAAACUCAGGCUAAUACCGCAUGAUCUCUUCGGAGCAAAGUGGGGGACCUUCGGGCCUCACGCCUUGGGAUGAGCCCAUGUCUGAUUAGCUAGUUGGUGGGGUAAGAGCCUACCAAGGCGACGAUCAGUAGCCGGCCUGAGAGGGUGGACGGCCACACUGGGACUGAGACACGGCCCAGACUCCUACGGGAGGCAGCAGUGGGGAAUAUUGGACAAUGGGCGCAAGCCUGAUCCAGCAAUGCCGCGUGUGUGAAGAAGGCCUGCGGGUUGUAAAGCACUUUUAUCGGGGAAGAAUAGGUUGUCGUUAAUAGCGCCAACACUUGACAUUACCCGUUGAAUAAGCACCGGCUAACUCCGUGCCAGCAGCCGCGGUAAUACGGAGGGUGCGAGCGUUAAUCGGAAUUACUGGGCGUAAAGCGUGCGUAGGCGGAAGCUUAAGUCUGAUGUGAAAGCCCCGGGCUUAACCUGGGAAUGGCAUUGGAAACUGGGUUUCUAGAGUGUGGUAGAGGAUAGUGGAAUUUCCAGUGUAGCGGUGAAAUGCGUAGAUAUUGGAAAGAACACCGAUGGCGAAGGCAGCUAUCUGGGCCAACACUGACGCUGAGGUACGAAAGCGUGGGGAGCAAACAGGAUUAGAUACCCUGGUAGUCCACGCCCUAAACGAUGUCGACUUGUCGUUGGGGGGGAUUUUAUCCUUUUAGUGGACGGAGACUAAAGCCCUUUAGUCCACACCGCCCU
rnacentral:rRNA from 1 species